CAGUCGCCGCGGUAACACCAGCAGCCCAAGUGGUGGUCGCGCUUAUUGGGCCUAAAGCGCUCGUAGCCUGGCCGGUAAGUUCCCCGUGAAAUCGGGUCGCCCAACGAUUCGGCUUGCGGGGAAUACUGUCGGUCUUGGGGCCGGGAGACGCCGAGGGUACUCCGGGGGUAGCGGUGAAAUGCUGUAAUCCUCGGGGGACUACCAGUGGCGAAGGCGCUCGGCGAUAACGGGCCUGACGGUGAGGGGCGAAAGCUGGGGGCGCGAACGGGAUUAGAUACCCCAGUAGUCCCUGUCUCUUAUU
rnacentral:rRNA from 1 species